UUAUUAUUAUUAUUUUGGUAAACAUUUUUGUAAGAAAAUUUUAAUUCAGUAGUUGUUUAUUAUGCAUUUAUGUGAAUUUUUGUGAGGGCUUUUCAGUCAUUUUAUGUAUUUUUUGAAAUUUUUUAUUUUUUUGAAAUUUUUUUUAUAAGGAAAUCAAUUCCCAGUAUGCAUGCAGGUACUUGAGUGCAUAUGUUCUAUCACAUUUUUAUCUGCAUCACGUUUUCUCAAUUAUAUUAGUAUAUUUUAUUCAGCAUCACGUUUUCUCAAUUAUAUUAGUAUAUUUUAUUCAGCAUCACGUUUUCUUCAGUGGUGAUAGUUGUUCUUAGUUUUCGUUCUGUUUUAGGGUUUAUUUGAGUUUUUCGUUGUGGAUUUUGUGCCCUCUGUGCGUGUCUUCGUCUCGGUGAGUACCUGGUUUCAGGUAUGUAUUUUCCGUUUGCUUCAGUAUCACGUUUUUUAUAUAUCGUUUGGUUCGAAUUUUUUCUUUCCUUCAGCAUUUGAUUUUUUGUGUUGAUUUCUUCUUUUUUUUCUUUUUCUUAGGAUUUUUAUAAGGUUCUCGUUGUGGAUUUGUGCCUCUUUGUGGUGUUUUCGUAUCGGUGAGUUGAGUACCCGGUUUCAGGGUUUAUUUUUUUUAUUUUUUUAAUGUAUAUUGAUUGUUAAUUUUGCUUUGUAUUAUCUAUUUUUCUGUCGUGGGUGGUUGUUUUUUAAUCUGUGUUAAUUGUGGUUUUUAUUUUUGGUGCACAAUUUUAUCGUUAGUUUUUUAGUGGGGUUUUUGUCAGUUUUUGAUCAGUUUAUUUUUUGGGAAAUUUAUGGGUAGUUAUUUGUAAUUUGUGCUCUAUAUAUAUGUAUAUCUGUUAUUCUUUUUUCAUUUGUGUUGUUUGUUUUUUUUUAUGCAGUGCAUUGUAUAUUUUAAUUUUCGAAGUUCUGUCAUGGAUCACUCUGGAGAAACCGGUGGUGUUUCUGGUUCUGAGAAGAAAAUUUAUGGUAUAGUAGAGGAUGAAUCGAAGAAUGUAGGGGAUGAUAUUGGUGAGAUUCUUCCUCGAAGGAGUAACAUUACACAUUUGAAGUAUGUUGCAAGGAAGAAGAGUAAAUCCCCUUCCUCUGUUGCAAGGAAGACAAGUAAAUCGCCUUCCACUGUUAAACAGACGAAGGAUCCGUGUGCAUCUGGUAGUAAGGAUGCUGGAGAUGGUUCUCAUGAGACUAAACAUGUUGUGGUAUGUGUUUAUUUUUUUAAGUAUUAUAAUAAAAAAUUGUUCAUCUGUUUAUGUUUCUGUUAUUGUGUUUCACAUUCAGUAGAUUCUGUUUGUUUUAUUUUUUUAUGGUUGUGUAUCUGGUUUCUUGUAGAUUUGUAGUUAAUUUGCAUAAUGUUCAAUUCUGUUUUGUGUUUGUUUUAUUGUUAUUGUUGUGUUUUCUUUUGUUGUUAAACUGUUUUAUUUUUUUUUAUACCUGGUUACAUGUGGAUUCUGUUUGUUUUAUUUUUUUAUGGUUGUGUAUCUGGUUUCUUGUAGAUUUGUAGUUAAUUUGCAUAAUUUUCAAUUAUGUUUUGUGUUUGUUUUAUUGUUAUUGUUGUGUUUUUUUUUUUGUUAAACUGUUUUUUUUUUUGUACCUGGUUACUUUGCAGAUAACAGUGAACGAUUUUGCUUGAUGAGUUUUUAACUGGUUACCUUAGUGAAUGAAUUAUUUUUUUUUUAUAUGUAUAUUUCAACCAUACAAAGUUAAAUACAUAUAAGUGGUUUUAUAAAUGUAAAGUACUUAUCAAUUUUUCACGUUUAUAUUUUUUGAAAUUGGUUACAUGUUUAAUUGUUUUGUUUUUUUCUGCAGGCUCAUUUAAAGAUAAACCCCUCCAAGAGGUUUGGUAGUAAGGUUCAACAUUUUAAUGACAAGAGUGUCAUUACUGACUUGAAAUCUAAGUUGGCGAAAAGUCAGAAAUCAUUGUUUAAGAAGACCCCAUUUGGGCACUUUUUAGAAGUAUGUGAUAUUCAUUUUCAAACUCAACUUGCCCAGCUUGUGUUAUUGAGAGAGGUCUCUCAUGAGAGGGAGGAAGAGGAAAUGUGGUUUAAGCUUGGUCGUAGAGUGUGUAGGUUUUAUGUUGAAGAGUUUGCUCUAGUAACGGGUCUUAGAUGUGAUGGUGAUUUUGAUUUAAGUCGUUUUCAAAAAAAGAAAGUUUUGUUUAAGAAAAAAAUAUUUGGCCGUUUUGUUGGUAAGGUGUCAAAGUCUGAAUUACGAAAUGCUUUUAUUAGUAAGGAUCUAGUUGAUGAUGAGGAUGUUGUCAAAUUAGGUAUAGUUCAUAUCUUAGUUAACUAUUUGUACGGCUAUACUAGUGAUAAGUUGGUUGAUGAUUUCUUUUUUGAGAUGGUUGAUCGAGAUUUUUCUGAAUUAGCAAAUAUUAGUUUUGGCAAGUUUGUAUGGGAUAGGAGUUUUCAUUAUUUGAAAACUGCUUUGAAGGGUGGGAAUAAAAUCUUUGAUGGACUGUUCGUUGAUGGGAAGGCUGGCCUUCACCCUUACAAACUUCUUGGGUUUCCCAUUGCUUUUCUUGUAUGGAUAUAUGAAAGUAUAGCUGAGUUGAGUCCUGAGUUUUGUCAACGAGUUGGGAAAAAAUUUCCACGUUUGUUGAAUUGGAAGAGUACAAAUAAUGCCUUCUAUGCAAACUUGGUGGGAAAGGUUUUCAACAAUCAGAAGGUAUAAUAUUUUUGUUUUGUAACUGGUUUCUUGCUAAAUUUGUUUUAUUCAUUUUUAGAUUUGUGUCUGUGUACCUGGUUUCAGUUGAUGGUAACCAGUUUCUUGAUUUUGUAUAUAUAUAUUUUUAAUUUAUUCAGUUGAUUAUCCUGAAUGUCUAUCCGUCUUCUGAGGAGAGAAAGAAACUGGCAGUAAAGAAGUUUAAGUUUGAGCCUCUAUACUUGCCGAAGGUGUGUGCUGAAGAUGGAGACAGUAGUCCGGGUACCCAGGUACUGGUUAGUUUUGUUGUUUGUUUUUGUUAAAAAAAAAUAUUAUUUUGUUUUGAAAUUUAUAGGUUUCUUUUUAUGUUUUUUUUUUUUUUUUUGCUGUUUUGUAAAGUAUUUUAUUUUGUUUUUUUAGGUUGAUAGUGAAAAGUUGAGAUUGAUUUGUGAAUCAAUCUCAUCAAUAAAAGCAUGCCAAGAAACUAUUAUUAGUGACAUUGCAGUUAUGAGAUCUGAGUUUAUAGGGAAACUCAGUUAUUUAUCUGCAAUGAUUGCAAAAUUUGUUGCAAAAAAUUCUGAAAAAGUUGCAAAUACAAGUGAUGAAAGUGCUGGUUUUAAUGAAGGGGAAAAGCCAACUGAUUUUGAUAAUGUUCCAGUCCUAUUUCUGAUGAUUCUAAGGUAACUUGUGUUGUUUUUAUGCUUUUUUUUUUUUUUUUUAACCAUUUUUAGUUGUAACCAGAUUGUUUUUUUUUUUUUUUUUUUGGCUAGGAUUGUGGAAAUGAUUCAGCUAAAGAGUCUGAUGGUAGUAAGGUAACUGGUUUAUGUUUCUUAAUAGUAUGUUGUGUUUUUGUAGUUGUUUAGUGUAACCAGUUACUGUUGUAACCAGUUUCAUUAUUUCUUUUAGGGUGUCGAGAAGGAUUUAAAUGAAAAUUUUGAUGCUGUUUAUUAUGGGUUGGAGUUGUCAAAUGUUGUGGGUGGAGAUAAGGUUUUGUAAUUUAUUUUUGUUUUUGUUUCUUGUAUUAUUUUAUUUAAAAUUGAAUUUGUUGUAAUUGAUUUUAUUUUUAUUCAUUAUAGGAUUUUUCAAAGAAGCCUGAGUUCAGUUCAGUUGGUUUAAGUUUUGAAGAAGUAUAUGUGGAUCCAGAGAUUUUGAGUGUUAUUGAUAAAACUGUUAAGUAUGCAGAAGGAGAAAAUAUAUUUAGUGGGAGUAAGGAUGAUUGGAAAGUUGUGAUGGUUGGUGAUGAUGAUGAAGUUCCUGUUGCUAUUGAAAAGAGGGAGCCUAAACCUAGUACUCAUGUCAAAUCUCCUUUUGUUACUGAGUUUGGUUCUUCUGAAGUAAAAGAAACUGUGAAGAGGAAGGGAGAGGAAGUGGUGAUUGUUAGAGGAUUGCUUCCAUUUGAAGAUGAAAUUGGGAAGAAUGUUUCAAAGAAUGAUUGCCUAGAUUAUAUUUCUUGGAUUGAGGAUAAAAUGAAUUUUAAGAAUAAGAAGAAGAAAUUUUCUGAUGUCAAUAACAUUAUCAAUCCACCAAUGGAUUAUUCUUUUGUUAAAAUUUCUGAGAAGAUGUGAUUUUACAAGCUUCAAACUUGUGGGGAUGACCUUAUGGACACUCAUAUCAAUGUAUGUUUUUAUUACUUGAGGAAGAAGAUUAAGUUGAUUGAUGGUUUGAACAAGAGGGUUACAACUACAGACUCUUGGUUUGAUGCAACUAUCAAGAGUUUGUAUGAUAACUUUGUGGCAGUCAAAUGUGAUUCAAGCAGCAUUCGUUUUGAUAACCUCAUUUCAGAUUACAUUAUUGGUGAAUAUUUGUUUUGUACACUCCUUGGGUGGAUGUGGAUCAUGUUCUUUUUCCUGUGCAUGUGAAGGUUCAGUUGCAUUGAGUUUUUAUUCACUUUUCCAUUAAGAGUAGAAUGUUAACUGUCUACAAUUCUUUGACGGGAAAGAAGAAUGAGAGUAUUGCUUUGCCAUAUGUGAAGGCUUAUUCUGUUGUUUUACCAUAUUUUCUAGAUUUUCUUGUUCUAGGAAAGAUUUGGACUUGAAUGUUGGUCCAUAUUCUGUUGGGAAGAAGGAUCCAAUUGAUUUUAACUUUGCCAAAGACUUGUCAUUUCAAGAGGAUAAGUAAGUAACUGGUUUUUGUAUAUUGUUGUUUAUUUUUCUAUUUUGUUUGUUUUUAAAUAAUUUCAUAUGCUGUUUUUUGUCUCUUUUUUUUUUUUUUGCAGUGAUUGUGGAGUAUUUUUUAUCAAGUAUGCUGAUUUGUUUAUCCAUGGGAAGAUUGAUGACAUCCCGAAGAACAUGGCUGCCAAAAUUGCUACCUAUCGUGAUUAUCUUGCCAUUAACUUGUAUAGUCAUGCAAAAAAGAAGCAGAUUGGUGGGUACAAGACAGAAGAUGAUGCUCCAUCAAAGAAAUCAAAGAGGAGGAGGAAUUAUAAGUAGAGAUGUUGGAGUUUUUUUUUUAGCUGUAUUAACGACCAUGUCUUUUUUUUUUCUUUGUUUAAUAGUGAAGUUGUGGUUUGUAACUGGAUACUGUUUUAGUACUGGACUUAUGUAUGGUUUUUUUUUUUUUUGGUCAAUGUAAAGAAUUGGUUUCAACUUUUGUCUUAAUAUAAAGUUUUUUUUAAUGUAUUUUAUUUUAAUGUGUAUGAUUUUUUUUUCAAUAGAGUUGGUGAUUUUUUUUUUUAAAGUGUGAAGAUAUUGUUAUGUACACGUUUUUUUUUCAAAUAGGUUUCGAUUAUUAUUGCAUGAAGAUGGUGUAACCGAUUACUUCUGUGUUAGAUUGUAAAAGCUAUAUGUUUCAGGUAACUGGUUACUGUUUAUUUAGUUUUUAUUUCUAUUUUUUUAAUUAUUUUUUUAUUUAUUUAUGUUUGUUGUGUUUUUUAUUGUGUGAACGGUUUGUGAUUAUAUAACUAGGUUUUUUAAGUAGUUGGUUUUAUUAAUAUAUAGUUGUUUAUUAAAUUUUCUUAUAGUAACUGCUUUUUUUUUCUUUUCUAUUUUUAUGUGUUGUAACCAGGUACUUGAAUUUUCAAAUUUUGAAUAUCUUAUGUUGGAACCUAGAAGUUGAGUAUCAAGUUUAUAAUAUUUAUGUUUUUUUUGUUUUUUGUGAAAGAUUUGUGGUUAUAUAAUUAGGUUUUUAAUUCGUUGGUUACAUGUAUAUGUAGUUGUUUGUUAAAUUUACUUAUAGUAUCUGUUUUUUUUCUUUCUAUAAUAUGUGUUGUAACCAGGUACUUCAGUCUCCAGAUUUUGAAUAUCUUUGUGUUUGGAACCAUGAAGUUGAGUAUCAAGUUUAUAAAAUGUAAAAUGUUUAAAAAGUUUGUACUUUUAUUGAAGUAGAAAACAUUAGGAUACAAUUUUAAUACAUCAAAUGAAAAUAUUGAAAUUGUAGUAUAUCUAUUCUUUAGAACAUUAUUUGUCUAUUUUCUUUGACUUUGUUGGGUUUCGCAGCUUUGGGAUUGGUUCAUUCCUGCAUGUUUUUCUAUUAUGCCCUUGCUGCGCGCAUCUUCCACAUUUUAUUUGCACCUUUGGUUCUCCUUUAGAUCUGAUUCUUUUCCUUCUAGGGCGGCCUGGUGGUUUUCUUGAUUUUGGUGGUAGGACAAUUAUGUUUAAAGUCUCUGGCAGUGUCCAUUCGCUUUCAUUUGGCAAUGGAUGAACAGUUGAGUCAUAUGGUGCUUUCAUAGUUGUAGUUUUGUAGUAAUCAGCAACAUAAUCAU